rnacentral:rRNA from 1 species
AUACGGAGGGUGCAAGCGUUAAUCGGAAUUACUGGGCGUAAAGCGUACGUAGGCGGUUCGUUAAGUUAGAUGUGAAAGCCCCGGGCUUAACCUGGGAACUGCAUUUAAAACUGGCGGACUAGAGUUGAGUAGAGGGGAGUGGAAUUUCAGGUGUAGCGGUGAAAUGCGUAGAGAUCUGAAGGAACACCAAUGGCGAAGGCGACUCCCUGGACUCGAACUGACGCUGAGGUACGAAAGCGUGGGUAGCAAACGGGAUUAGAAACCCGAGUAGUCC